AGCCGUCUAUGGUACCUGGUGACGCAAAUUAGAGGGCAAUUAGCCAUUUGUAUGAGCGAAUGCCACAUGUAAAGGGAGUGCCACUAGCACAGCAUUUCAGACACUGGAGGGGAGUGAAAAGGUGAAGCACUAUUGUGUGAAGGAGUCCAUAUUUAAAGAAGCCUCUAAUAGUUCUCGAAAAACUGUUUGAUGUGACCAGUAGGCAAGGCUGAUAGCCGUCGAUUGCGUUGUGACUCAAUUUGAAUUGUUUCAGUAAAGCGGCGCAAGAUCACGUUUUAUGAGGAUACAUUUGGCAAGCUGCAUCUAUGGUUCAGACGCAGCGCGUUGAGAAACGUGAAGGGGGAGAGAUUUUUCUUGUGUUUCUUUUGUAGUUUUCGUUUGUAUUGUAUUUCUUUGGGAAUUGUAUUUUAAUUUUAUUUGGGUAUCGAUGGUACAAACGGUACAAUUCACAGGUAAUGGCAUUGAGCAAUAUGCAAUAAUACCCUUUAAAGUUUAUCACAGAAGUGUGCUGAUUGCAGUGUAUCACGUGAAGGUGAUCGCUUAAUUUGUGGUGCGAUUCUCUGCGUGUGAAUUAGAGUAACUUAUUGUGUGUAGUGGGUUUUGUAUUUAAAGGGUUUAUGACCUGCCUUGCCUGUGUACACCACAUUAUACCCUCUUUUUACCUGUCAUGCUGUGAAAUGUUUUAGCAUUAUAUGUAAUAAGGAAUAAAGAGUUAGGUAUUUUGUA